UAGGGAAUUUUACGCAAUGGGCGAAAGCCUGACGUAGCGACACCGCGUGAACGAAGAAGCCUUUUGGGGUGUAAAGUUCUGUCAGCUGGAACGAAAUCAAUGACGGUACCAGCAGAGGAAGCAUCGGCUAACUACGUGCCAGCAGCCGCGGUAAGACGUAGGAUGCGAGCGUUGUCCGGAUUUAUUGGGCGUAAAGAGUUCGUAGGCGGUUUGUUAAGUCUGAUGUUAAAGAUCGGGGCUCAACCCCGGGAGUGCAUUGGAUACUGGCAGACUGGAGUACGGUAGAGGUAAGUGGAAUUUCUGGUGUAGCGGUGAAAUGCGUAGAUAUCAGGAAGAACAUCGGUGGCGUAAGCGACUUACUGGGCCGUAACUGACGCUGAGGAACGAAAGCCAGGGGAGCAAAUGGG
rnacentral:rRNA from 1 species